ACACCUGCAGCCAAUCAUGAUAAUCAUGUAUUUAUAUAGAUUAUUAUUGUCAUUUUCACGAGCCUUUUGCAAAUAGUAUAAUAAUGAAUGAAAAGUCAUAGAGCCCUCGAAUGGACAAACCGAAAAUUACAUAGUAUUAUGAUCAAAAUAUUAAAAAGGUAAUUUACUUGUGAAGCACUCGCUAAGGAAAGUCUGUCAGGUCGUGAAGGCGCAUCCACAUGAUGCUAUUAUUGUUGUACACAUUUUUUUUAUUUUUUUCUUCUUGUCAACAAUAAACGAUUUGGGUUGGAGGAAAAGUAUUGCCAACAGCAUUAUAUUAUACUAAUAUAAAAUGUACAAGUACAAAAACCAAACUAUACGAUGGUAAUUUGAUACUUGUUUAGUAUUUAUAAACAUACGUAUGCAACGUCAGUCAAUAACGCGUGUAUAAUAUAUGAGAUUGAAGGAAUUAUUGUAUAUCUCUUUAAAGCAUGGGAUUUAAUAAAAUAUAUUUUUUCGUUUUAGGUUCUUUCAUAGUUGGUGAUCCAAUAUCCAAUUUUUUUGCCGUGAUAUAUUAUGCGCAUUAUUUUAUUAUAAACUUACGUGAUUCACGAAGAUCGUGAUCAAUAGCCAUCCAAGCGUCAUGGGAAUUGCGAGCAACAGCAGGAACUUCUUGCGGCCGAUGGAGCGGGAUAACUGGCCGGCCGGAAGUGCACCCAGGAGCGCGCCAAUCAGGUAAAUGGAAACGACCCAUGACGAUAUUUCCAUGGAGUUCAUCAUGAACAUCAUCUCUCCAACGGAUUCGGGAUGCUGCGGAGCCGUCCAGCCACCAACCACGGUCCCCGAAGCAAAUGACAUCACGGAAGC